UGGGAACGCGAAGAACCUUACCUAGACUUGACAUCUCCUGAAUUACCCUUAAUCGGGGAAGCCCUUCGGGGCAGGAAGACAGGUGGUGCAUGGUUGUCGUCAGCUCGUGUCGUGAGAUGUUGGGUUAAGUCCCGCAACGAGCGCAACCCUUGCUAUUAGUUGCUAACAGGCUAAGCUGAGCACUCUAAUGGGACUGCCCGUGACAAGCGGGAGGAAGGUGGGGAUGACGUCAAAUCAUCAUGCCCUUUAUGAUCUGGGCUACACACGUGCUACAAUGGAUGGUACAAAGAGAAGCAAGACCGCGAGGUGGAGCGAAUCUCUUAAAGCCAUUCUCAGUUCGGAUUGCAGGCUGCAACUCGCCUGCAUGAAGCCGGAAUCGCUAGUAAUCGCGGAUCAGCACGCCGCGGUGGAUACGUUCCCGGGUCUUGUACACACCG
rnacentral:rRNA from 1 species